UAGGGAAUCUUCCGCAAUGGACGAAAGUCUGACGGAGCAACGCCGCGUGAGUGAUGAAGGCUUUCGGGUCGUAAAACUCUGUUGUUAGGGAAGAACAAGUGCUAGUUGAAUAAGCUGGCACCUUGACGGUACCUAACCAGAAAGCCACGGCUAACUACGUGCCAGCAGCCGCGGUAAUACGUAGGUGGCAAGCGUUAUCCGGAAUUAUUGGGCGUAAAGCGCGCGCAGGUGGUUUCUUAAGUCUGAUGUGAAAGCCCACGGCUCAACCGUGGAGGGUCAUUGGAAACUGGGAGACUUGAGUGCAGAAGAGGAAAGUGGAAUUCCAUGUGUAGCGGUGAAAUGC
rnacentral:rRNA from 1 species